AAACACUUUGACUUUUCUCCGUAAGAAGAGGGACUACUCGGCACACUUUGGUGUGUUUUUGUGACAAUAUUUCAGCAGGUUUUGGUGCAACUGCUACCUGUUUUUAAACUGUUUUGCUCGGGAUCCCGCGCAUCUUCUACCCCGUGAUAUCAAUUUCCUCUACCUAUCCACCGCACCCAAGCCAGGGGUAACUGUCGGGCAGACAUGCUGUAGAAGUGUAUCUAUACUGAGACAUCGGAGUGGACCUGAAGUUUGCGGUGCGCAUGAGUGGGACCAUGCAAGGACAACACGAGAGAGGACUGAAGAACCUGAGGCUGCUGCUUCUGUGUCUUUUCAUUGCCACCCUCGCCUCUGGAGUGCACGCGGGUGGGAAGAAGCACAGUGGCCCCUGUGGAGGAAGAGACUGCAGCGGAGGCUGUAAAUGUUUCCCAGAGAAAGGUGCCAGGGUA